rfam:Sphingobium sp. C100 contig179, whole genome shotgun sequence.
GAGAGCCGGAUGCGGGAGAUCUGCACGUCCGGUUCGAUGAGCAGGGAGUGGAAACGGACCGUCUGGCAAGCCCCACAGGCGCGCCGCACGACACCGCGCCACUUCCUGACUCUAC